rnacentral:rRNA from 1 species
GAGCGAGAAAGGGGCUUCGGCUCCGAGUAAAGCGGCGCACGGGUGCGUAACACGUGGGUAAUCUUCCUCCNGGGUUGGGAAUAACUCUUCGAAAGGAGAGCUAAUACCGAAUAAGCCCACGUCCCCUUAGGGGGACGAGGGAAAAGGUGGCCUCUGCAUGCAAGCUAUCGCCUGGAGAUGAGCCCGCGGCCCAUCAUGCUAGUUGGCGGGGUAACGGCCCACCAAGGCUACGACGGGUAGCUGGUCUGAGAGGACGAUCAGCCACACUGGAACUGAGACACGGUCCAGACUCCUACGGGAGGCAGCAGUGGGGAAUCUUGCGCAAUGGGCGAAAGCCUGACGCAGCAACGCCGCGUGAGUGAUGAAGGCCUUCGGGUCGUAAAGCUCUUUCAGGAGGGACGAAACCGCUCCGGGAUAACAACCGGAGCCUUGACGGUACCUUCAGAAGAAGCACCGGCUAACUCUGUG